UGUAAAAUGAUGAUCAUUUAACUACUUCUCAAUUUUAUUGAUGUCUUAAAAUUUGAGCUUUUUAAAACUGAUGCAC
rfam:Picea glauca, whole genome shotgun sequence.